GCCGAACGCUGGCGGCGUGCCUAAUACAUGCAAGUAGGACGCAGUUGCGCACGGGUGAGUAACGCGUAGGUAACUACCUAUUCGAGGGGGAUAACUAUUGGACACGAUAGCUAAUACCGCAUACUAGUAGAUGGACCUGCGUUGUAUUAGCUAGUAGGUAGGGUAAUGGCCUACCUAGGCAACGAUACAUAGCCGACCUGAGAGGGUGAUCGGCCACACUGGUACUGGGACACGACCCAGACUCCGACGGGAGGCAGCAGUAGGGAAUCGUCGGCAAUGGGGGAAACGCUGACCGAGCAGCGCCGCGUGAGUGAAGAAGAUUUUCGGAACGUAGAGCUCUGUUGUGGAAGAAGCGGUACUUAUCCGGAAAGGGACAGCUAACUACGUGCCAGCAGCCGCGGUAAUAC
rnacentral:rRNA from 1 species